UCGGUAUAUGUGAUGGUAGAUAAUGUUGUGAAAGUUGAAAGUUUUAGUUGAAAAGCUGCAGAAGAUUUAGAUAAACAAUUGCAUAUUUUAAUGGGUCGGCAACCAUUCACAGCACGGCAACACAUUGCCACAAAGAAAGGACAAGAACAGGGGAGAGAAGGUACACCUAAGCCCGGGCCAAGAUUCGAAUCUGGGACCUUCCCAGAGCUGUCAGAGCUAUCUGAACACUAGACUACCUCAAGACAAGACCACUCUAUCCUAAAUGUUAAGAAUAAUUAAUGGUCACUAACAUUUCCAACUGUCUGACAUAGCGUCGACCCAAGUGAUUUUUGAUGCAAAAAAACUAAUCGUGGAACUUAUGGUGAAACAGAGUUAAGCAGUGUUGUAAAUGUACAAAUUUGCAAAAAAUA